GACGAAGGGUGCAAGCGUUGCUCGGAAUUAUUGGGCGUAGAGCGCACGUAGGCGGCUUAGCAAGUCGGAUGUGAAAUCCCUCGGCUCAACCAAGGAAGUGCAUCCGAAACUGCUGAGCUUGAGUACUUAAGAGGAUCGCGGAAUUCCCGGUGUAGAGGUGAAAUUCGUAGAUAUCGGGAGGAACACCAGUGGCGAAGGCGGCGAUCUGGGAAGAUACUGACGCUGAGGUGCGAAAGCGUGGGGAGCAAACAGG
rnacentral:rRNA from 1 species